rnacentral:rRNA from 1 species
GACGAACGCUGGCGGCGUGCUUAACACAUGCAAGUCGAACGGAAAGGCCCUGCUUUUGUGGGGUGCUCGAGUGGCGAACGGGUGAGUAACACGUGAGUAACCUGCCCUUGACUUUGGGAUAACUUCAGGAAACUGGGGCUAAUACCGGAUAGGAGCUCCUGCUGCAUGGUGGGGGUUGGAAAGUUUCGGCGGUUGGGGAUGGACUCGCGGCUUAUCAGCUUGUUGGUGGGGUAGUGGCUUACCAAGGCUUUGACGGGUAGCCGGCCUGAGAGGGUGACCGGCAGCUGGGGGCCGGAGAAAGGCCCCAGACUCGUAGGGGGGGCAGAGGGGGGAAGUUUGGCGAAAGGGGGGGAGGCUGAAGGAGGCAGCCCCGGGGGGGGGAGGAGGGCCUUGGGUUGGGAAACGGCUUUCGGCGGGAAGGAGGGGUGAGUGACGGUAAGGGGAAAAGAAGCACCGGCAAACUACGUG